rnacentral:rRNA from 1 species
GUCUGACGGAGCAACGCCGCGUGAACGAAGAAGGUCUUCGGAUUGUAAAGUUCUGUGAUUCGGGACGAAAGGGUUUGUGGUGAAUAAUCAUAGACAUUGACGGUACCGAAAAAGCAAGCCACGGCUAACUACGUGCCAGCAGCCGCGGUAAUACGUAGGUGGCAAGCGUUGUCCGGAAUUAUUGGGCGUAAAGCGCGCGCAGGCGGUUUCUUAAGUCCAUCUUAAAAGCGUGGGGCUCAACCCCAUGAGGGGAUGGAAACUGGGAAGCUGGAGUAUCGGAGAGGAAAGUGGAAUUCCUAGUGUAGCGGUGAAAUGCGUAGAGAUUAGGAAGAACACCGGUGGCGAAGGCGACUUUCUAGACGAAAACUGACGCUGAGGCGCGAAAGCGUGGGGAGCAAACAGGAUUAGAUACCCUGGUAGUCCACGCCGUAAACGAUGGAUACUAGGUGUAGGAGGUAUCGACCCCUCCUGUGCCGGAGUUAACGCAAUAAGUAUCCCGCCUGGGGAAUACGAUCGCAAGAUUAAACUCAAAGGAAUUGACGGGGGCCCGCACAAC